GGGGAGCGGCCGGGCCCUGGGCGGGGCAGGGCGAGGCUGGAUCUUCGGAACGAGUCCGUGAAGGAUCGGGCGCGGGCGCGGGCGCGGGGCCGGAGGGCCCUGGGAGAGUGGGUUGAGAGAAUGGAAGUGAAGAGGAAGGCUUCACCAUCACCUUAACUAACAUGUGUUUCCUACCGUUAAAUAAACAUUAUAGGAGGCCACUGUUUUGGACUAAGUUUCUGCACCAGGCCCCAGCCGACCAGACUAAAAAUCAAAAGAGUCACCCAUGCUAAAGUUCCACAUUACCAAAUGGAAACUGAGUUGCCAUCUAACCUGGGGAGAAAUCAAGAGACAACAGCCAAUUUCCCAAACAGGCCGGUUUAAAUCCUCAAUCAACAUCACAUUUCCCUGCUUUAAUCCUACGCAAAAAAAGGCG
rnacentral:lncRNA from 1 species